AGUCUGGUGCCAGCAGCCGCGGUAAUUCCAGCUCCAAUAGUGUAUAUUAAAGUUGCUGCAGUUAAAAAGCUCGUAGUUGGAUUUCGGAUAAUAAAAAUUUAAUAUCCAUCCUUAAAAUGUGAUUUAAUUUUUAUUUCCUUCCUUUUGAAUACACUCCCUAAACUCAUUUAGGGAAUUAAGUGUUUCAAAUCGUUUACUGUGAAGAAAUUAGAGUGUUCAAAGCAGGCGUAACCUAGCCUUUGAAUAUAUUAGCAUGGGAUAAUGAAAUAGGACUUUAGUCCUACUUUCGUUGGUUUCUAGGGCUGAAGUAAUGAUUAAUAGGGAUAGUUGGGGUCACUAGUAUUUAAUUGUCAGAGGUGAAAUUCUAAGAUUUAUUAAAGACUAACUACUGCGAAAGCAUUUGACAAGGAUGUUUUCAUUAAUCAAGAACGAAAGUUGGGGGAUCGAAGAUGAUCAGAUACCGUCGUAGUCUCAACCAUAAACUAUGCCGACCAAGGAUCCGGGGUUGUUAAUAUGGAUGACUCUCCGGGCACUUAUAGAGAAAUCAUAAGUAUUUGGGCUCCGGGGGGAGUAUGGUCGCAAGGCUGAAACUUAAAGGAAUUGACGGAAGGGCACCACAAGGAGUGGAACCUGCGGUUUAAUUUGACCCAACACGGGGAAACUUACCAGGUCCAGACACAGUGAGGAUUGACAGAUUGAGAGUUCUUUCUUGAUUCUGUGAGUGGUGGUGCAUGGCCGUUUCUAGUUGGUGGAGUGAUUUGUCUGGUUAAUUCCGUUAACGAACGAGACCUUAACCUAUUAAAUAGUUGUUUGAACUUGAUUUUUUAAAUCAAAUGUUCAUUUAACUUCUUAGAGGGACUCUUCACUGAGAGAGUGAAUGGAAGUUUGAGGCAAAAACAGGUCUGUGAUGCCCUUAGAUGUUCUGGGCCACACGCGCGUUACACUGACAUAUUCAACGAGCAUUAUCCUUGCCCGUCGGGGUUGGGUAAUCUUUUAAAUGUAUGUCGUGCUGGGGAUAGAUCAUUGUAAUUAUUGGUCUUGAACGAGGAAUUCCUAGUAAGUGCGAGUCAUCAACUCGCGCUGAUUACGUCCCUGCCCUUUGUACACACCGCCCGUCGCUCCUACCGAUUGAAUGGUCCGGCGAGAACUCAGGAUGGAUAUGGAUUUUGGACCCGUUAGGUGUUCCAACCAUAUCCAGAAUUUGUUCAAACCUUACCA
rnacentral:rRNA from 1 species